GAAACGGCCGCUAAUACCCAUAUGCCGAGAGGUGAAAUGAAUUUCGCCUGAGGAUGAGCCCGCGUCUGAUUAGCUAGUUGGUGAGGUAAGAGCUCACCAAGGCAUCGAUCAGUAGCUGGUCUGAGAGGAUGAUCAGCCACACUGGGACUGAGACACGGCCCAGACUCCUACGGGAGGCAGCAGUGGGGAAUUUUCCGCAAUGGGCGAAAGCUGACGGAGCAACGCCGCGUGAGGGAUGAAGGCCUCUGGGCUGUAAACCUCUUUUAUCAAGGAAGAAGANCUGAC
rnacentral:rRNA from 1 species